rnacentral:rRNA from 1 species
GACGAACGCUGGCGGCGUGCUUAACACAUGCAAGUCGAACGAACCCGAGACUUCGGUCUCAAUGGGUGAGUGGCGAACGGGUGAGUAACACGUGAGAAACCUGCCCUGAAGAUUGGGACAACCAAGGGAAACUUUGGCUAAUACCGAAUACCCUGGAUGCGUCGCAUGGCGCGCCCAGGAAAUGCUCCGGUGCUUCAGGAGGGUCUCGCGGCCUAUCAGCUUGUUGGUGAGGUAAUGGCUCACCAAGGCAUCGACGGGUAGCUGGUCUGAGAGGACGAUCAGCCACACUGGGACUGAGACACGGCCCAGACUCCUACGGGAGGCAGCAGUGGGGAAUCUUGCGCAAUGGGCGAAAGCCUGACGCAGCAACGCCGCGUGGGGGAAGAAGGCUCUCGGGUCGUAAACCCCUUUCAGGAGGGACGAAAUUGACGGUACCUCCAGAAGAAGAACCGGCCAACUACG